ensembl:lincRNA linc-169 ncRNA
AGCUAAGACUGUUUCUGAUCACAAAAUGUACAACUUCAUGCCCAUCCCAAUUUCAAAACAUCAAAAAAUUUCAAAGUAAGCUCACGUGAUCGGACUUUGCUUUCAAGACGUAGCCAAAAAGAAGAAACCAAAGAAGGGGAAAAGAGGCGACAUAUUUACUAUCAAAUGCCGAUAUGAGAUUUCCAACGAACACUCGUUCGAAGUUCAUAGUCAAGGUGAAAUGGGUCCAGAAAUAGAACGGAAGUCGCAUUUAGCGUAUCAAGUCGCUCGUUUCGAAGCAGUUGCUAUGGGCUUCCCGGUGCAAUAUAGACAAGUUGUUGUCGAAUUCUACUAUCAUGGCCGAUUGGAUGGAUCAUCGGGUACCCUGGCGACUGCGGUUGGGUUGUUGGCUCUCUUCACAGGAGUUGAGAUAUCACCCCGUUUUGCCAUCACGGGUUCUCUUGAUGUUUUCGGUUGGCCCCCAUAUUGUUGCCUUUUCUCCGUGAGUGGACGAGAAAAAGGCGGGGCCUAAAUAUGAGGUUUUCUGCAGUACACGCCACGCAGUUUUUUUUAUUUUGAGUGUAGUUUGUUUACAAAAAAAAACUAUAAAAUUUUAAAUUGUAGAUUUAACUUCAUCAUAGGAUAACGCUAAAGCUAAUAAAUUACGGGACACAU